rnacentral:tRNA from 1 species
GGAUUGUGGCCCAGUGGUAGAGUACUCCCCUAGCAUGGGUGAGGUACUCGGUUCAAUCCUCAGCACCA